GCGUGUUCAUCUUAUAUAGCGUCAGCGCCGGCAACGACAAUACAUGUCUCCUGAUUUUCCUCUCUUCUUUAUCCGAAUCCUCAUGAUGAGGAUUUACAUCGAUUCAGCGGUAUAUCGAAUGUAUGCGAUAAAAUGAGUGAGCGGAAAAGAGUUGGUCAGUCAGUCGUACACACAGUGAUGAUUUUUGUAUUUUUCGGCCGGUGACCUUGAGAUUGUCUCGUUACGUAUUGUUUCUUUUCCUUCUACGACGCUUCGAGAUCGGUCAAACUAUUUUCAGUCGAGUCUUCUCGUUUUUUUCUUUCUUUUGGGAAUAGAUUUCGCAGAGAGAAUUCGGUUGAAGGACUUGAAUAAUUGAAGAAAUAAUGGAGUUAUUGGUGCACUAAAAUUUCAUUAUAAUCUGAUGCAAUGAACACCUUGGGAAAAAUAUACGGCGGGAAAUUUUAAAUUAAAAGCAAAAAAUCUAUUUAAUUCCAAGGCCUGGUUGACACCAGAGUUCGGUUUAGAGUAGCUCGGAUCAGACCUGCUUUAUACUGGUGGGUCUGUGCCGGGCCUCACCCUCGGACCAAGCUCAACGUUCCAGUCUCCAGUCCAGUCAACGUUCCAGUCUUUGGUCCAAUUGCUCAUUUAUAACGGGGUAACUCGAACAACGGACCCGCUGCAAACGUCGCAGAGAAUAAUCAAAAUACUUCGGCUAUUUAUCACCUAAACAGCUUAAAACGUGGACCCACCCCAAGACAAGGGUCUCCUUUGGAGACAGACCUCAGCUUGAACGAACAGAGGGGGACUCCUUCAACGGUCACUCGAGCAAACCACAUUGGAUUAUCAACUUGGAGAUAUUUCUUUACAAAAUGAUAGGCAAAGAAUAUCACUUACAACAAAUAAUAAUAAUUAGUAUUACGGGUUUUGAUUAUAUUUUUCAUUCAUUGGUCCUUAUGGUAAUCUUCAUCGAGUCAUUAUAUAUUACUAAGAUAGUGACUAAUAUCAAUUUGACAAUUGAACUUUCUUCUGUAAUGGACAUUUUGCACGCUAACAUGACUGAUUUUCACUACUCCUAAUGACUAACUGCUUGAUGGGAAUUUUUCGGGUUUAGCAUUUUUCCAAUGAAUACCGUGUAAAUCUCCGUCCCUUACAUUUGCCCCGAAAUUUUCGGGGUACUGUAUCGGAAUACAUUAGAUAGUCACUAGUCGCACCGGCUCUCAUCGUGAAAAUAUUGUUUUUUACCAUUUAAAAAGUGACAAUCUGCACAAAAAAUCUUGAAAAUGUAGUGAAUUUUGUAUAUUCCGUUAUGGAGCAUUGGGAGUUUUAUAAUAAUCUUGUCAACCAAACUAUUCAAAUUUGUGCCUCGCAGAGUCCUGAAUCUCAUUAGAUGUUUUUUAAAAUAAGACACCAUUUGUGGAUUUGCGAAAGGGAGCAUUGAGGGGCAGUUUUCAUUGCCCCUUAAUGUGAAAUCCUAUAGGUAUCUGAGUGCAUGCCAUGGACUCCCGCCCAGACGAUGAGAGUAUUUUCCCAAAGGUGGUAACAUCAACUGGCAGAUCUGGAUUUUUCCAAUACCGAAGACACCCUGUGGGGGUUCCUGGAUUCGUUCGGCAACCAUAACCUGCAAGGUUGUUUUCAUAUACAAAUUGCACUGGAUGUGGAUUAUUAAAAAAAGGAACUCCUGUCCUGUAAAAAAAUUUACAGAUAUUCCAGUUUUUGUUUCCGAAUGGAAAGACUUUUUCUUACUUCGAACUGAAUUUUUCACAUUCCACAACAGGAACCAGCAUAAGGAUAGGCCGUUGAAAUUCCACAUGACAGUAGCCCAAAUAAUAUUAAAUGUUAAGAUUUUGCAUGAGUGUAAUCGAUUCAAUGAUUUUGGCGAUUUUUUGAAAAUGGAAAUAUCUCCUUUUAAACAGCCUGUGAAAUUCCAUUCGAAGGAUUACUAACAAGACAAUUGGUAGGAAUAAAAGGAAAAUAAAUGCUAGUUUUCAUAUUAAUUAGAUAUACACUAAAGGCGCUGCAUUACUCAUAAUUAAAAAUUGUAUAAUCUAUUUUCUUAAUGAUAAAAUUGUUGUAUGAUUAUUUCUCUCACGUCCAACGAUGGUCAAUCGCCCUGCGAUCAGUUGUCGUAUGAUGUAUUGUCGAAACGAGUUAUCCUGUGGUGAACAAAGCCACAAUCCAUUGUAAGACUAUAUCCGUUUAUGAUAAUUGUACCUGACUGGUGGAUUUAGGUGGUGCAGUGGAUGUGCGCUAUUCAUGAUUAUUCACAAUUGCGGAUCUUGAAUAUGUGAGAUAAUUGAUUGUAACUCAACGCCACUGGAGUGUGAAGUUUAUCGCUCAUUUAAAUAUGUGUUUUUGUGGUGUCACGGAGAUUUGUGAUCAUUCAGAUAAUCAGUGGUAACUGGGUUCUAGCUAUUGAUUAUUGCUGACGAUGUUGGAUAAUAUCUUGAAUUAUUGACGUCUUUGGAAUUUCCUUUUCUGAAUAGAUAAAUCUAGUCAUCUAAUUUGUGGAAUGACCAAUUGGAAUUAAUUGGAUUAUGCGUUCUUUGAGCUAGUGAUCGCGUCACUUAGAAAAACCGAACGUUAAUUACAUUUUGUUCGGCUUAACAUUCUAAUAACAUUAUUCGCCUAUUAAAGGCCUAUUUUGUCGGCAGAAUUUAUUAUGGUAAGUUGGAUCGUUUCCCCCUCAUCAGUAGCAUAUGGGCUUCAAACAAAAACCAUUUAGCAAAUAAAUUUUAAAGUCAUUGACCCGGUGCCAUAAAUUACAUUUAUUGAAAAAACAUUGAAUAACCCAAUCGGCAAGUCAUUAUGGGAAAAUUGAUAAGCAUUGAAGGGUUGAAAGCUCUUCCAGUAACAUGUACAUGGAGAGAAAAAUUUGUAAAUUUUUAUGGUGCGCUUCCGAUAAAAAUUACUAUGCUGCCUUACAAUCUUGACGCAAAGUACAGGCCUGGGAAAGAACAUUAUGUCGCCUAGUAAAAUAUCUUUUUCGGCUUAGGAAAACGUCUACAUCGGUCUUGUAACAAUUCAAUGUCUAAUGGGCGACGAGGAGAUGGACAUAUUCGACAUUUAUCGCUAACCGAUCAUAAUAAGUUCACGAAAGUUGCUAUGCUGCACUGUAAAAAAUCCAGAAAGACACAAUAACAUCGACUAAUCUAGAUAGGCAUUUUCACAGGAUUUCUAUCAAUUAUUGAUAGCAACAGAUUUCGUAAUGGAGUUGUUAUAGAUGUUCAUAUAGACGAUGACGACGAUUUUGAAAGAAGAAAUUUGAUAAAUUCUCAUAACGUCAAAAUUUGAAUAUAUUGGCAACUACUGGUCGGAUUUAAAAUGAAAAUAUUGUCAUCUUUUCUACGAUGAACCGUCGAAUAAUCAUAGUGAGUUGCCACAAACAUCAAUGAAAUUUCGGGAAAUUAAAAUCCAAAGACGUUUCUCACACGACUUCCCACCAUUCGCUACGGCAUAGAUGACUCACCAGUAUCAAAGAGACCCCGAGAGCAGACGAGUAAAUUACAUUUUCUCCCUCCUGGCCGUUUUGAGUGAACAACCUCUUCUGCAACAACGAGCCGACUGAAAAUGGAAUGAAAUUACUGAAGAAGCGGAUCGAAAAUCUCGACAAGUCUCACAAGUUCACAGCCAAAUCGUUGGGAAUAAUAACUCGCGACAAGUGAAGCCAAUUCAGCGUGUAAUACGAAGGAGAGCCCUCCGACUAAAAAGCCGAUACUGGCACCGAAAAACGAAUAAAUUAACAAGAAGAAGAAGAAGAUAGCGAUGAAAGCUCCAAGUUCUUCAACUUAUCCAGUCUGAACGGCCAUCGAUCAUUUCCAUGAUGAGGUGGAGUCGACGAUUCAUCCGUGGGCUCAACUCCAGAGUGAAAACGGAUAUUUCAAUUGCUAGCGAAAAUACGCUAACUAGUACCAUCCGGAAACCCGUGAAAUACGAAUGGUUUAUAAGACUAAAUGGUAACAACAAAAAUUUAUUCCAUCAAAAUAUAUUAUCUGAAAAUAUAUUUUGGCAUAAUUAUACUGAAAUAUUGCUAUCUUUGGCAAUAACAUCUUGUCAUUCAAUAUAUUCAACAAUAAUGCUUUAUCCGAAAGUACAUUUUCUCAAAAUAGAUCGUCAUUGUUUUUUUAAACCGAUAAAUUCAAUAAUUAUUUAUAAAAGAAAUGUCAUAUUGAGCGAAAUCAUUCUUGAUUGAAUGAAAUUUACCGAAUUAAAAGGGAGGCAUAUCAAUAUUACUUUGAAAGUCUUGAGAAAUUUUUGCUCGUCAACGAAAUAUAUUGUUAUUAAUAAUAGGGGCGGAGAGAUUAUUAAUUAGAGAGAAUCCAGGCAAUGGUCUCUCCAAUAUUUCUAAAACUGGAAUGACGAUUCAAAAGACAGUAAAAAGAUCGACUUGAAAUUUGGAAAAAAUAAUCAUUUUAUCACUAUGACAGAUGAUAUUGAACAUAAGCUUAAUUGAACUAUGGUUUUCGUCGAUAUUCAAUUUUUAGUGUAAACUCAUUAUCUGGAAUAUCUCUGAAUUAAGCUUUCAUUAUCUGAAAAUUUUAGUCUUAAUCUCCCCUAUCAUAAUCAAUUGAAACUUUGGCAUUCCCAAUUGAAUAAAAUCGGGAAAAAUGGUGGAAAUAAUCAAAUAAAGAUUUCAUAGCCACAUAAUUACAUAUUAUGUUCAUUUUUUCAUUUUAAUUUAUUCAUGAUACAUAUAAAGUAAUAGCAAGAAACAUAUCAUAAAAGUCCGUCGGAAGUUCACCAUCAAUUUAUUGACAAAGAACAUAUUUCCACACAUUUCAAUAAGUCAUUUAUCUCAGUCGUAUAACUGGUAUUGCCUGUUCAUUUUAAUCACCUCAUUUGACGCAUGAUUAAAGUACCUUCAUCUUUAUUUGACCCUUUAUGGGAUUUUUACAACGUAUAGGUUUUAUGCACACUUGUGUACACACAAAUUACGAUGGUUAUGGAAAAAAAUCUUGAUGAAUUAAAGCCAUUGUGAAAUCAACAUCCGGGUGGCUGGAAAAAUAAACUGAACAGUUUGAUUAUUUUUUUUUACCGUCACGGCUCCUUUUAUUCCAAUGACAUGUUGAAUCACAAGUGGGUUUUCCCCAAGGACCCAGUCGCUUCAAUC